rnacentral:lncRNA from 1 species
GCUAUUCCUGUUCGGAAAAAGAGCCAAAGCGAAAAAAAUCAGCCACUUUCAAACUCCAGCUUUUCAGGCAAGUUUCAAUAGAGGUCCAACACCAAUAUGCAUGAUGUAAUGAGAGAAAUUGCGAUUUCCGGGUGAUGGCUCCUUUAAGAACAGAAUAAGGGGGAGUUCUCAAAUGUAUACAUAACAUAAGGAGCACACAUGAAGAGCUUUUGCAGCUUUGUUGUUUUUUCAAUCAGGAAUUGUAUAAAUGCACUGCUUGGAUUCUUAUUUCAAAAACAUGCUGAUGCUGGAUGGAGAAAGAGACAUUAAUGACUGAGGACAUAAUUGGUCGAGCAGAAGAGAGCGGACUCUUUCAGCAUGUUAAUUACAUGAGGAUGAAGGGUGUUAUGAUCUUUCUGGUGUUGAUGCUGGUCGUCAUCAUGGUUGAUGCUGAGGAGAGUCGUCCUCAAAAUGAUGGUGUCCGCCUGCCGCCCCGGCGCAGUAUAUCAGAUUUGGAGCAUCUCAAGAUGAAGUGGCCAACGAUAAACUGAGGCGAUACUAUGAAAACUGAGUCUGUUCUUGAUUUUGAAGAUAUAGUUUGAGCUAUAUCUUUGUGCUUUGCAAAGCAAGAAAUAAUUGGAUGUGUAAACAUGAAGCUCUUGAGAUGUAGUGAUUUUAGUCACAGCUACAACUGAUAGUGAAAACUAUCCUGUUGAAUAAAGCUGCAUUCCAAAAGACCGUCUGUGUGUUGUGGUGUUAUUUAAGUGAACAUAUGUUUGUAAUUUUACUGGUGAUGAUGAUCAAGAACAUUGUUUUUCAUCAAUUCGGAGGUCAAUGUUUAUAUUAAGUAGAUCUAAAUAAUAAGUGUGUUGGUGUGAUCAGUUUAUUGAAUAAACUCUCUUCCUAUUAACUAAUAAAUCUAAAUGUUGAUGAUGUCAUUUGACAGAAAACUAUUUCAAAAAUGAAGCGAAAUAGGUGAGCAGGUGGUCGAGUGGUUAGAGCGCAUGCUACAUACGCAGCUGACCUCGGUUCGAUUCCGGCCAGAGGUCCUUUGCUGCAUGUCAUAUC